rnacentral:rRNA from 1 species
GGAAUCUUCCACAAUGGACGCAAGUCUGAUGGAGCAACGCCGCGUGAGUGAAGAAGGGUUUCGGCUCGUAAAGCUCUGUUGUUGGAGAAGAACAGGGACUAGAGUAACUGUUAGUCCUUUGACGGUAUCCAACCAGAAAGCCACGGCUAACUACGUGCCAGCAGCCGCGGUAAUACGUAGGUGGCAAGCGUUGUCCGGAUUUAUUGGGCGUAAAGCGAGCGCAGGCGGUUUUUUAAGUCUGAUGUGAAAGCCUUCGGCUUAACCGAAGAAGUGCAUUGGAAACUGGGAGACUUGAGUGCAGAAGAGGACAGUGGAACUCCAUGUGUAGCGGUGAAAUGCGUAGAUAUAUGGAAGAACACCAGUGGCGAAGGCGGCUGUCUGGUCUGCAACUGACGCUGAGGCUCGAAAGCAUGGGUAGCGAACA